AGUUGAUGAACCGCAAGAACCUGUUUGUGUAGUUAAUGCCAAGGUCAUUCCAGCCAGAAGCAGCUGGAUCGCCAUGGAGACACCGCCGGGUGGAGCAGCUGGACCUCAGACCGUUGACAGCCAAGUGAGAGUGAAGGAGG